GUCGAACGAAGCCAUGGCGGCGGAACUUUUCGGAGGGAAGGCGGCAUGGACUUAGUGGCGGACGGGUGAGUAACGCGUGGGUAACCUGCCCUGUACAGGGGGACAACAGUUGGAAACGACUGCUAAUACCGCAUAAGCCUGCGGGGCCGCAUGGCCCGGCAGGGAAAACUCCGGUGGUACAGGAUGGGCCCGCGUCUGAUUAGCCAGUUGGCGGGGUAACGGCCCACCAAAGCGACGAUCAGUAGCCGGCUUGAGAUAGUGAACGGCCACAUUGGGACUGAGACACGGCCCAAACUCCUACGGGAGGCAGCAGUGGGGAAUAUUGCACAAUGGGGGGAACCCUGAUGCAGCAACGCCGCGUGAGUGAAGAAGUAUCUCGGUAUGUAAAGCUCUAUCAGCAGGGAAGAAAAUGACGGUACCUGACUAAGAAGCACCGGCUAAAUACGUGCCAGCAGCCGCGGUAAUACGUAUGGUGCAAGCGUUAUCCGGAUUUACUGGGUGUAAAGGGAGCGCAGGCGGCGCGGCAAGUCAGAUGUGAAAGCCCGGGGCUCAACCCCGGGACUGCAUUUGAAACUGCCGGGCUAGAGUGUCGGAGAGGCAAGUGGAAUUCCUAGUGUAGCGGUGAAAUGCGUAGAUAUUAGGAGAAACACCAGUGGCGAAGGCGGCUUGCUGGACGAUCA
rnacentral:rRNA from 1 species